AGCUCCAAUAGCGUAUAUUAAAGUUGUUGCAGUUAAAAAGCUCGUAGUUGGAUUUCUGGUGGGAGGGAUACGUUCCACAUUCAAUGUGGUAACUAUAUCCUCUCCGGCCAUCCUUGGGUGGAUCUUUUCUGGCAUUAAGUUGUCAGUUAGGGGAUGCCCAUCGUUUACUGUGAAAAAAUUAGAGUGUUCAAAGCAGGCUUAUGCCGUUGAAUAUAUUAGCAUGGAAUAAUAAGAUAGGGCCUUGGAACUAUUUUGUUGGUUUGCGUACCGAGGUAAUGAUUAAUAGGGACAGUUGGGGGUAUUUGUAUUCAGUAUUCAGUGGUGAAAUACUUAGACCUACGGAAGACAAACUACUGCGAAAGCAUUUACCAAGGAUGUUUUCAUUAAUCAAGAACGAAAG
rnacentral:rRNA from 1 species